UUCAAGAUCCACCGGUGGAGGAAGAGGAAGAAACAGCUCACAGCUCCACACAGCAGCCUGUAAACAGACAAGUGAUCACUCAGACAAAGAAGCUUAUUUUAAUCAGCGUUAGACUGCAGGAAGUCAUCAGACAUGGGGAAGUGAUGGUGAAGAAAACAAGAAGAAGACUGGUGCGGCCGUGAAGAUGAGGACAUUAAUUAUCUCACCCCAGCAGAGCAAACAGAAGAAUCUCCAGCGGGUGGAAAGGUGCUCUGAUAGGGGGUCGCCAUUACCUAAAUCUCCGCUCCACACUGAGAACAGGCGGAAGGUCAGCGCCCCGCAGGCAGCAGAGAAGAAACAUGGGAAGUAAUGCCUCAGGGUGAAGUGAGAGCUCAUCACCUCCACACUGAACAAAACUCCUACAGAGGAGAGAGGGUGGGAAAGAGUGAGCAAGUUGUUUGG